rnacentral:rRNA from 1 species
CACGUAGUUAGCCGGGGCUUCUUAGUCAGGUACCGUCAUUUUCUUCCCUGCUGAUAGAGCUUUACGUACCGAGAUACUUCUUCACUCACGCGGCGUCGCUGCAUCAGGGUUUCCCCCAUUGUGCAAUAUUCCCCACUGCUGCCUCCCGUAGGAGUUUGGGCCGUGUCUCAGUCCCAAUGUGGCCGUCCACCCUCUCAGGCCGGCUACUGAUCGCUGCCUUGGUGGGCCGUUACCCCGCCAACUAGCUAAUCAGACGCGGAUCCAUCGUAUACCACCGGAGUUUUUCACACUGCCCCAUGCGGAGCCGUGCGCUUAUGCGGUAUUAGCACCUAUUUCUAAGUGUUAUCCCCCGGUAUACGGCAGGUUAUCCACGCGUUACUCACCCGUCCGCCACUAACUCAUAAAUCACUAGGUUUCAAUAUGAGUCCGUUCGACUUGCAUGUGUUAAGCACGCCGCCAGCGUUCAUCCUGAGCCAGGAUCAAACUCU